rnacentral:rRNA from 1 species
AACAGGAUUAGAUACCCUGGUAGUCCACGCCGUAAACGAUGUCGACUUGGAGGUUGUUCCCUUGAGGAGUGGCUUCCGGAGCUAACGCGUUAAGUCGACCGCCUGGGGAGUACGGCCGCAAGGUUAAAACUCAAAUGAAUUGACGGGGGCCCGCACAAGCGGUGGAGCAUGUGGUUUAAUUCGAUGCAACGCGAAGAACCUUACCUACUCUUGACAUCCAGCGAACUUUCCAGAGAUGGAUUGGUGCCUUCGGGAACGCUGAGACAGGUGCUGCAUGGCUGUCGUCAGCUCGUGUUGUGAAAUGUUGGGUUAAGUCCCGCAACGAGCGCAACCCUUAUCCUUUGUUGCCAGCGAUUCGGUCGGGAACUCAAAGGAGACUGCCGGUGAUAAACCGGAGGAAGGUGGGGAUGACGUCAAGUCAUCAUGGCCCUUACGAGUAGGGCUACACACGUGCUACAAUGGCGCAUACAAAGAGAAGCGACCUCGCGAGAGCAAGCGGACCUCACAAAGUGCGUCGUAGUCCGGAUCGGAGUCUGCAACUCGACUCCGUGAAGUCGGAAUCGCUAGUGAUCGUGGAUCAGAAUGCCACGGUGAAUACGUUCCCGGGCCUUGAACACACCGCCCGUCACACCAUGGGAGUGGGUUGCAAAAGAAGUAGGUAGCUUAACCUUCGGGAGGGCGCUUACCACUUUGUGAUUCAUGACUGGGGUGAAGUCGUAACAAGGUAACC